UGCAGUCGACGGCAGCACAGGAGAGCUUGCUCUCUGGGUGGCGAGUGGCGGACGGGUGAGGAAUACAUCGGAAUCUACUCUGUCGUGGGGGAUAACGUAGGGAAACUUACGCUAAUACCGCAUACGACCUACGGGUGAAAGCAGGGGAYCUUCGGRCCUUGCGCGAUUGAAUGAGCCGAUGUCGGAUUAGCUAGUUGGCGGGGUAAAG
rnacentral:rRNA from 1 species